ACACUCCUACGGGAGGCAGCAGUGGGGAAUAUUGGACAAUGGGCGCAAGCCUGAUCCAGCCAUGCCGCGUGAGUGAUGAAGGCCCUAGGGUUGUAAAGCUCUUUCACCGGAGAAGAUAAUGACGGUAUCCGGAGAAGAAGCCCCGGCUAACUUCGUGCCAGCAGCCGCGGUAAUACGAAGGGGGCUAGCGUUGUUCGGAAUUACCGGGCGUAAAGCGCACGUAGGCGGAUCGAUCAGUCAGGGGUGAAAUCCCAGGGCUCAACCCUGGAACUGCCUUUGAUACUGUCGAUCUGGAGUAUGGAAGAGGUGAGUGGAAUUCCGAGUGUAGAGGUGAAAUUCGUAGAUAUUCGGAGGAACACCAGUGGCGAAGGCGGCUCACUGGUCCAUUACUGACGCUGAGGUGCGAAAGCGUGGGGAGCAAACAGGAUUAGAAACCCCAGUAGUCCC
rnacentral:rRNA from 1 species